rnacentral:rRNA from 1 species
UACGAAGGGGGCAAGCGUUGUUCGGAUUUACUGGGCGUAAAGGGCGCGCAGGCGGUUUUUCAAGUCGGGUGUGAAAGCCCCGGGCUCAACCUGGGAACUGCACUCGAGACUGAAGAACUAGAGUUCGGGAGAGGAUGGCGGAAUUCCCAGUGUAGAGGUGAAAUUCGUAGAUAUUGGGAAGAACACCGGUGGCGAAGGCGGCCAUCUGGACCGAGACUGACGCUGAGGCGCGAAGGCGUGGGGAGCAAACAGG